UACGUAGGGAGCAAGCGUUGCCCGGAAUUACUGGGUGUAAAGGGAGUGUAGGCGGGAUGGCAAGUCAGAUGUGAAAUUUAUGGGCUCAACCUAUAAACUGCAUUUGAAACUGCUGUUCUUGAGUGAAGUAGAGGCAGGCGGAAUUCCUAGUGUAGCGGUGAAAUGCGUAGAUAUUAGGAGGAACAUCAGUGGCGAAGGCGGCCUGCUGGGCUUUUACUGACGCUGAGGCUCGAAAGCGUGGGGAGCAAACAGG
rnacentral:rRNA from 1 species